GCCAGUAGAAUGGCCGCAUCUACGGCUGCCAGUUCCUCGCCGCCCUUCUCCUCCACUUUCUCUACUUUAUCAACCUUCUCCGCCUGCUCCUCUUUGCUGUCUUCCGUGGAGAUUUCCGGUUUCUUGGCCAGCGGCAUUUCCACAUCCUCGGCUGCUGCGACUGCUCCAUUGCCGUUAUUCGAGGCAACGGGCACUUCGUUGGCAUUUGCAUCCUCUGCCUUUUGCUCCUCUUCGAUGCUUAUAACGGGAUUGGGUGUGGGUUCAUCCACAUUGGCAGUCUCUUCGUUUUUGGCCAACGCCACUUCCAUGGACUCUGAUUCUGGUUCUGCAACGCCAUUGUUGGCACUGGAAGUGGUUCCUGCGGUGGAAGGGGCUUCCACUGCAACAGCAGCGGCAGCAGCAGCCUCAUUGGAAAUGGGGGGCGAAACAGCCGGCAUUUCCAUCUCUGUCUCUUCCUGACCGUUGCCGUUGCUCUCGGCGAGAGUGAGCGAGAGCGAAGGAGUGGGUGUGGGUGCAGUCGGAUUUAAAGUGGAAGUGGUGGCACUAGCUGCCGCCUGCUGCUCUACCUCUGACGGCUUUGGCGGCUGCGCAUCCUUAUCCUUCUGCUGCUGCGAUAUCUGCUGGAUGUCUACGAUGCGCUCCUGUCGUUCCAGGCUGCCUUUGACGACUGGAAGUGGUGGCGGCGCCUUCACCGUCAGAAUGCCGUCCGAGGAGAGGGUCGAGUGCACCUCGUUGGGAUCAUAGCCCUUGGGCAGGAUGUACUUGCGGAUGAAGUGGCGCGAGAUCACCCCGUGGCCAUCCUCCUUCUCGUCGUGCUGACCCUCGACCACGAUGCAGUUAUCGAUGGUCUUGACGGUCAGUUCGUUGGCGGCGAACUGCUUCACAUUCAUGCUCACCUGGAAGCCGUUCCUAUUCACCACGGAGUAGGCGGAUUUGCUGGCCGCCGGUUGGCCACUGGUGCUGCCGCUUGCCCCGGACGUGCCCUUAUCGCCCAAUUCCUUUUCCAGCUCCACCAGCGACUUAUUGCAGCAAGCAGUCUUGGCUCCGGCCACACGAUUGUACGGAUGAUGGCGAUGCUGCGAUGCCGCCGACUGACCCUUGAUGGGCACCCACAUCAUUGCAUUCCCACGCCCCAACCCACGACUCAGCUGUGGCAACUGUGAGGUGGCCUCCAGUGGAUACAACCCGAAUCCGGCCGAAUCAUCUAUAUCCAUUGCCAGGCUGCGAUUGAAAUCGUGCAGCUCCUCGGCCAAAUCUAGUAUGAACGGUCUUGCGGGGAUUGGUGUCGUCUGGGAACCGGCGGCGAUCCGUUCUGGCCUCCAACUGGACUGCGUUUGAGCCCUUAUGGCUGAAUGUCGACGCUUUUAAGCGGCUGUGCAGCGCUGAAUGGAAAACCUGGUCACUUCCAGUCGGCUUCCAUGCCAGCUCCCAGGCGAAAAACUAUGCAACUCCUCCAGAGAACUCACCAAGGGGAAGGGCUACCCAUUAAAACAGUCAGUCAAGCCAUGUACUAUGCCAUUUUCUGCUAUAUACACCGAAAUAAGAGAUACUUUUCCUCUACCGCAGAUAGCCAGAGAACAAAGAAAGUACUCGUACUCGUAGUCGGCAAGAAACCAGACAAACCAAACUGCAACGUUGCAAAACCAAAUAAAAAAGAUACGUAAAAGAGGCAAACCGGCUUGAAAUCGAAGCAUAUAUGCACGAAUAUCCCCCCCAAGAGAUGCCAUCUUCCUUGUACCGGCGAUAUACAUAUAUGUACUCAUAUAUACAAAUAUCCAUAUAGACGGGGUAUAUGUAAAGUGGUCGUGUUGCAGCUGAAUUCCCACUGCCGGCAUUGAGCGAACAGCUGAGAGUCUGAGUCUCGUGCCGGUUGCCGAUGCGGAUUCGAGUCGCCGGCGAUAAACAACUACAACAACAGCUGGCUGGCUGGCUGGCUGGCAGGGCCGCCUGGAAGCUACAAAUCCGCUGUUGCCAGAGCUGGAGGAUUGGCAAGCCGGCGUCGCGUAAACAUGCGCAGUGACAGCGUCUGGGGCAACCCAUACAUAUGGUAUCUCCAUAUACAUUUGUAUCUACAUACAUACAUACAUACCCUGCCACACAGAUGAUGAUGAUAUUGCUGGAUUCGUAUGUGGUUACAUAGCCAAGUGCAAGCGAUGGCAACCGGUUGAAAAGCUCCAAAAUGCAAAAAACAACAACAACACCAACAACAUCCAGACGGGGGCCAGACAGUGGAGACUUUGCUAAAAAUUUACUGGGGCCCCGAACUCAGCUGCGGGAUACAAUUCUGUAUGGCCAUAUAUUAUAUUAUAUAGUAUGUUUGUAUUGAUAUGGUGUAUCUGCCAGCUGCAGUCGGAAAAGAGCAAAAACCUUCAGAGAUUGCUGCGUACGAGAUGCCCCCUUGUACAUACGAUACAUUCCCCAUGUACAUACACACUGGGUACUUGCUCCCAUUUACCUAACCAAGGGGAAGAAAUCCGCCGGACGAGCAUGCUCGCACAUUAUGUGGCCACCUUUUUGAAUAGACAACUUCCACUGCGUUGGCGUUGGAUUGUCCAAGCCCUGGGCACCAAGAGUACUCUACUUCAGUGGAGGAGGAGUGGUGACAAGAAAAUGGGGCCAUAAAUAAAAACUCGAAUUAUAUAACAACCAGAGAUUGAGUUCUAUAGCAAUGCCCAUGUAUUAUAUGGUUAUUCAAUCGCUACUGUAACAACAAAUUGUAAACAAAUUGUCAUUUGAUUUGGUUAUUACGAAGUAAUUCUGAAUUCUAAACAAUGUGUAUAUAAGCUGAAUAUUUAUCAAGUUGUACCAAGCAAAUGUGCAGCUAAAUCUUACAUACAUACAUAUGUAUUUGUCUUAAGAAAUUGGUCAAAUAUAAUAAAAGGUUACAGCCUCGUUUUCAAU
ensembl:ncRNA asRNA:CR43481 antisense RNA:CR43481